rnacentral:rRNA from 1 species
AUGUGAUCGUCUCUCGCAUAUCAAUAAGCGGAGGAAAAGAAACUAACAAGGAUUCCCCUAGUAACGGCGAGUGAAGCGGGAAGAGCUCAAAUUUGAAAUCUUAAAGGGUUUCCCUUUACGAAUUGUAGUUUAAAGAAGUGUUUUCUGUUGAGGUUUUGGUAAAAGUUCUUUGGAAUAGGACAUCAUAGAGGGUGAGAAUCCCGUAUUUGACCUUUACUUUCAACUUUGUGAUACACUUUCAAAGAGUCGGAUUGUUUGGGAAUGCAGUCCAAAAUGGGUGGUAAAUUUCAUCUAAAGCUAAAUAUUGGCGAGAGACCGAUAGCGAACAAGUACCGUGAGGGAAAGAUGAAAAGAACUUUGAAAAGAGAGUUAAACAGUACGUGAAAUUGUCAAAAGGGAAGCGUUUGACACCAGUGUUGUUUUUCUGAAAAUCAAUUAAAGAACUGUUUAUGCUAAGCUUGUUUAGACUUUAUCAGCUAUCUGCUUUAGUUUUGAGCUUUUCUUUAAUGCACUUUUCAGUUAACAAGUCAACAUCAAUUUCUUUUGCUGUAAAAAAGCUUGAGGAAGGUGGCUUGAGAUUCGUCUUAAGUGUUUAUAGCCUCUUGCCUAUGCAGUCGGAGAGAUUGAGGUCUGCAGCGUAGAUCCUUCGGGGCUAAAUGCAUUUGUGCUAAGUUAUAACAUUUUAUAGACAACUUGUUGACUAUGAUUUGUCUUGUAGCUUACUCGCUUAUGUUAUUUUACCUACGCUUAGGAUGUUGAGCGCAUGUCUCUCUCU